AUUACAACAACAACAACAACAAACCCAGUGUAUUCCCACUUUGUGGGGUCUGGGGGGGGUAAGAUGUACGCAGUCCAUACCUCUACCUCUGAUGAAGUAGAAAGGCUGUUUCCGAAAGACCCCCGGCUCAAGUUACGAGAUAUCAAACAAACACAUAGUACAGCACAGAAGCAGAUGACAUAACAUAGAUACUGCAGCCAUAAGGAAUAUAAAACAGAGUAAAGCAGGGAUGCAGGAAUAUAAAGCAGAGGAAAGCACACAGAUUCGUAACAAACAUAGAACACGGAACACGGAACAGAACAUUGAAUACGGAAUCAUACCAGGAAUACACCCCCACCAAUUACCUCCCUACAUUAGCG
rnacentral:lncRNA from 1 species